rnacentral:lncRNA from 1 species
GAGCCAGCUUUGACAACCCCCUCGGGUCCCCUUCCACAGUGUGGAAGCUUUGUUAUUUCGCUCUUUGCAAUAAAUCUUGCUACUGCUCACUCUUUGGGUCCACGCUACUUUUAUGAGCUGUAACACCCACCGUGAAGAUCUGCAGCUUCACUCCUGAGCCCAACGAGCCCACGAGCCCACUGGGAGGAACCAACAACUCCAGACGUGCUGCCUUAAGAGCUGUAACACUCACCGUGAAGGUCUGCAGCUUCACCCCUGAGCCAGUGAGACCACGAACCCACCAGAAGGAAGAAACUCCAAACACAUCUGAACAUCAGAAGGGACAGACUCCAGACGCGCCACUUUAAGAGCUGUAACACUCACCGCGAGGGUCCGCGGCUUCAUUCUUGAAGUCAGUGAGACCAAGAACCCACCCAUUCCGGACACACCAUCAUCAUGUAAGGCACUAACAACAGGAGAAGCUGGGUGAAAGAAUCUAUGUCACAGUGAUUGAUUUACUGCAUAUGAGCAGAAUGAACCUGGACCUGGCCAGUAUCAUUAAGGGUCUCACUUCAUCACCUAGACUGGAGUACAGUAGCACAGUUGCAGCUUCCUACAUCUUGACUUCCUGGGUUCCAGUGAUCCUCCCCCUUCAGCCUCUCAGCAGAGAGAGAAAGAAAGCAGAGCUCUUUGAAGCAGAGAAAGAAAGCAGAAAGCAGAGAUCUUUGAAGGCUUAAGAAACCAUAAGGAGUUUUGGAGAGUCAAUGCAUGAUGAUCUCUGAAGAUUCUACUGAAAUCUAAUCAAUAUGUCCUCACUGCCAUCAAUUCAAAAGAACUUGCUAAGAAGGCUCUAGAGGCUUGUACUCUCAGAUAGUGAAAGUGAGAUGAUGUGUAGUGAAAGUCAUAUAUAGGUUGUAAAUUGCAAUAUGGAAUUCCCAAAUGCUGAAUUCAUUUUAUCUCUUCGGAAAUAAAAACCUGUUAAAGACUCAUU